rnacentral:lncRNA from 13 species
ACCCAUUUGUCCAGGACGCCCUUCUUUUUGAUGAGAGUCUGUCUCUGGGAAAGGAAUUGGGCUUCAAGGAAUACAUAAAAUUAAGUAGUAAAAAACAAAACAACACACAACGCAAUGCCACCCACUGCUGACGGGCAGGACCUUCUGGGGCUGGGUCCAUCUGCAUUGUGAUGAGAGCAGUUUGUGAGUGAUGUCAGCCUAAUUAGGCAGGCUAAUGUCUGGUUUCCUGGAGCGGGCUUUUGUGAAGUAAUUGGCUGCCUUGGGGUCAAAAUGCAGUAAUUAUAGGUCUUAAAAAAAAAAAAACAACUAUAUGAGAUAAACAGCCUUUGAAUUCUUCAAGCAAGUAAGCCAAUCACACCAAGAGACUUCUCUUUGUGCCCAGAACUGCAGCCUCCACUGAGUCCUUCAAUAGAGAACUGCUCGCUUAGAAGAGGCUUGGGAAGGAUAUGCAUGGUGGCGGUGCUGCCAACCUGGCAUGGAAGGUACAAGAGGCGUCCUGAGCAGGAGCAGGAACAGUGAAUUAGAAAGCAGCUAAUUCCACGCCUACUCCUGCCUCUCUGUGGCUCCCAAGGUCC